CAGGGACAGGGACAGAGACAGAGACAGAGAGUGUCCGCCUGGAAUUCCUCAACACCCUGAGACAUGUAACUAAUGAAGCCAGCUGUGUGAAACAUGAUGGAAGCAGUGGAUCUGGAAAGCCUGACACAAGAUCUUUAAAAAAAUGUGCUCAUCCAGUUUAUGAUUGAAAAAAGAAAUAGUUGUGUGAAAGUGUAAAGUUUCUGAUGGAAGAUUAUCCUGACUGUGGAAGUUAACCUCAUGGUGAAAUGAAAUCAAGAAAAAAUAUUCAGAUAAAGGAUAUUUAUGGCACCAGAACCUUUCUUAAGUCAUCAUAGUCAUCAAGACACUACCAGACCUGCUGCAUUUCUCCAGCAAUUUCUGUUUUUGGACCAGAACUAAAACCUGAAUCUGAACUGAAGUAAAAUACUGGGCUGUUUUCUCUGUGUCAUAAAAAUUCCCCUUCAUAAACACUUCAUCAAUU